rnacentral:rRNA from 1 species
UACGAAGGGGGCUAGCGUUGUUCGGAAUUACUGGGCGUAAAGCGUAUGCAGGCGGACUUUUAAGUCAGGGGUGAAAUCCUGGAGCUCAACUCCAGAACUGCCUUUGAUACUGGCGAUCUUGAGUCCGGGAGAGGUGAGUGGAACUGCGAGUGUAGAGGUGAAAUUCGUAGAUAUUCGCAAGAACACCAGUGGCGAAGGCGGCUCACUGGCCCGGUACUGACGCUGAGGUGCGAAAGCGUGGGGAGCAAACAGG